rnacentral:rRNA from 1 species
UACGUAGGGGGGCUAGCGUUGUCCGGAAUCAUUGGGCGUAAAGCGCGUGUAGGCGGUCCGGUAAGUCCGCUGUGAAAGUCGGGGGCUCAACCCUCGGAUGCCGGUGGAUACUGUCGGGCUUGAGUACGGAAGAGGCGAGUGGAAUUCCUGGUGUAGCGGUGAAAUGCGCCAGAUAUCAGGAGGAACACCGGUGGCGAAGGCGGGUCUCUGGACAGUUCCUGACGCUGAGGCACGAAGGUCAGGGGAGCAAACGGG